rnacentral:rRNA from 1 species
UCCCAGACUCCUACGGGAGGCAGCAGUGAGGAAUAUUGGUCAAUGGGCUUACGCCUGAACCAGCCAAGUCGCGUGAGGGAAGACUGCCCUAUGGGUUGUAAACCUCUUUUGUCAGGGAGCAAAGGGCGCCACGUGUGGCGCUUUGCGAGUACCUGAAGAAAAAGCAUCGGCUAACUCCAUGCCAGCAGCCGCGGUAAUACGGAGGAUGCGAGCGUUAUCCGGAUUUAUUGGGUUUAAAGGGUGCGCAGGCGGAAUGUCAAGUCAGCGGUAAAAUUUCGGGGCUCAACCCCGUCGUGCCGUUGAAACUGGCGUUCUUGAGUGAGCGAGAAGUAUGCGGAAUGCGUGGUGUAGCGGUGAAAUGCAUAGAUAUCACGCAGAACUCCGAUUGCGAAGGCAGCAUACCGGCGCUCAACUGACGCUCAUGCUCGAAAGCGUGGGUAUCGCACAGGAUUAGAUACCCCU